UGACUACCUGGGUCAAGUCAAUGUCUUUCU
rnacentral:piRNA from 1 species